AGAGUUUGAUCCGGGAUGAGGACGAACGCUGGCGGCGUGCCUAAUACAUGCAAGUCGAGCGAAUCGAUGGGAGCUUGCUCCCUGAGAUUAGCGGCGGACGGGUGAGUAACACGUGGGCAACCUGCCUAUAAGACUGGGAUAACUUCGGGAAACCGGAGCUAAUACCGGAUACGUUCUUUUCUCGCAUGAGAGAAGAUGGAAAGACGGUUUACGCUGUCACUUAUAGAUGGGCCCGCGGCGCAUUAGCUAGUUGGUGAGGUAAUGGCUCACCAAGGCGACGAUGCGUAGCCGACCUGAGAGGGUGAUCGGCCACACUGGGACUGAGACACGGCCCAGACUCCUACGGGAGGCAGCAGUAGGGAAUCUUCCGCAAUGGACGAAAGUCUGACGGAGCAACGCCGCGUGAACGAAGAAGGCCUUCGGGUCGUAAAGUUCUGUUGUUAGGGAAGAACAAGUACCAGAGUAACUGCUGGUACCUUGACGGUACCUAACCAGAAAGCCACGGCUAACUACGUGCCAGCAGCCGCGGUAAUACGUAGGUGGCAAGCGUUGUCCGGAAUUAUUGGGCGUAAAGCGCGCGCAGGUGGUUCCUUAAGUCUGAUGUGAAAGCCCACGGCUCAACCGUGGAGGGUCAUUGGAAACUGGGGAACUUGAGUGCAGAAGAGGAAAGAGGAAUUCCAAGUGUAGCGGUGAAAUGCGUAGAGAUUUGGAGGAACACCAGUGGCGAAGGCGACUUUCUGGUCUGUAACUGACACUGAGGCGCGAAAGCGUGGGGAGCAAACAGGAUUAGAUACCCUGGUAGUCCACGCCGGAAACGAUGAGUGCUAAGUGUUAGAGGGUUUCCGCCCUUUAGUGCUGCAGCUAACGCAUUAAGCACUCCGCCUGGGGAGUACGGCCGCAAGGCUGAAACUCAAAGGAAUUGACGGGGGCCCGCACAAGCGGGGGAGCAUGUGGUUUAAUUCGAAGCAACGCGAAGAACCUUACCAGGUCUUGACAUCCUCUGACAACCCUAGAGAUAGGGCUUUCCCCUUCGGGGGACAGAGUGACAGGUGGUGCAUGGUUGUCGUCAGCUCGUGUCGUGUGAUGUUGGGUUAAGUCCCGCAACGAGCGCAACCCUUGAUCUUAGUUGCCAGCAUUCAGUUGGGCACUCUAAGGUGACUGCCGGUGACAAACCGGAGGAAGGUGGGGAUGACGUCAAAUCAUCAUGCCCCUUAUGACCUGGGCUACACACGUGCUACAAUGGAUGGUACAAAGGGCUGCAAACCUGCGAAGGUAAGCGAAGCCCAUAAAGCCAUUCUCAGUUCGGAUUGCAGGCUGCAACUCGCCUGCAUGAAGCCGGAAUCGCUAGUAAUCGCGGAUCAGCAUGCCGCGGUGCAUACGUUCCCGGGCCUUGUACACACCGCCCGUCACACCACGAGAGUUUGUAACACCCGAAGUCGGUGAGGUAACCUUCAUGGAGCCAGCCGCCUAAGGUGGGACAGAUGAUUGGGGUGAAGUCGUAACAAGGUAGCCGUAUCGGAAGGUGCGGCUG
rnacentral:rRNA from 1 species